UUCUGAGUUCUGAUUAUUGACAAGCUUGAAUAUAAGACACUGCUUGCAAACAAAACUUUUUUCUCUAUCAAACAAAGGUCAAUUGUGAUUCUCUAUAAUUUGGCCACUUAUUUAAAGAGAGAUUUCCCUCAAACCUCCAGAACAGCAUGGUCAUUGCAACUUGGCCAUGGUAAUCAAAGCCGACUCUUAACUCUGUUUCUUCUCUUAAGGUUACCUGUCUACAAUUUACUUUCUGCAGAUUGCAAUAAGUAAUUUGGGUUUUGUUUUGUACAGAGCAAGACACAGUGCGAUCAUCACCUGGCUUUAGUGUCCUGUGAUCUCACUGGCGUUCCCAACCCUGACACUCCUUGCAAAAGAUGUCAGUAUCCCAGGGCAAAUUGGAAUUGGUUUUGUUUGUCAUGUAGGGACGUUAUCUGUAGUUUUAACAAUCAUCAUAGUGAGCAUUAUCAGCAGACAAAGCAUUGUCUUUGUGUCAACUGCAGGUAACUAUCAGUGUUGAUACUGAGCGUGGCAAGCUAAGUCCACAGGAACAAAAGACAGUUGAUGCAAUUUUUGAAGCAAGGUUAGUGUAGUACUUUUGUUAUUUCUGGUGAUGUUAAGUUGUUGUUUAUCUAACCAUUUCUUCUUGUUUCAUCACAGCAAGCUCCCUCUAUCAAUUUUACUUCUUGGUGUUGGAGAUAGGCCCUGGUACAUGUUGAAAGAGCUAGUGAUGACAACAUUCAUACUCGGGCAUUGAUAAUUUCCAUGUUAAGUGUUUAGCAAUUGAAUAGGUUUUUGUUUCUGUUACUCAUGAAUAGGGAUUUAUCAAUCACACAAAUACUAAAGACAAGCAUUUGCCUCACACAAACUCAUCAGUGUUAUUUUCCCUAUAACUUCAUUUAUGGCUGACAUUGAAGUUUCUUGUAGAUCAAUUUCUUGGCUGAGAGAGUUAGCAAAGGAUCAACUUUCCGAUCAUGACAUCAAAAUAUUUGUUGAUAUCUUCCUUGUUAUUUGAAUUGGCAGUUUUGUUGUACUCUGCUACUGCUGCCUAAUGGAGGCUUUUGGUGAUUCUUUUGGAAACUUAUAAUGUGGUUUUACUCCUGAUUUUGUGUGGCUUUUGACUUUGCUAUGU